UUAAGUAUAUGACCGACCUAU
rnacentral:siRNA from 1 species